AAAUGAGGAAUUACUGUACACAAAUAAACACAUUUUAACAUCCCUACAGUGCGUACAAAAAGCUGGAAAGACCAGUUAGGAAGAAAAGGAGGCAAAAGAGAGCUGGGAGUGACAACUCUUAAAAGAUAUGAUACCAGAGGCUCAACAUCAAGCUAUCCUUCGGGAAGUAGAGGAAAGAUGAGAUGAGCCACAGCAAAAGGAAGCAGAACACAAGAUUAAUGCAUAUCAGACACUUCAUCUAUAAACAUACUAAUGACCAUUUAUAUUUUGAUGUUAAGGCCUACUUUUCCCUAGUUGGCAAAAUCAAAGAGGUGAAAGCAAAUUUGAACAAAUACUGGGUCACCCACCAGACCACCAACUCUCCAAGAACAGGAAUCUGCUGGAAAUGGAGUGGUCAGGAAGAGAACUGAAAGACUGAAAGAAGGAAGGAGAGCAGGACGAGGAGCCUUCGGUCCCAAUCCCACCAAUCAUAGAAAAUCCUCAUGACCCAGACUACCCAGUGCUCAGCUAGUGCAAUUAAGCAUUGCUUACUUAAUAGGAGUCACUGUCAUGCUGUCACUGACUCCCCUGUAGUUACAUACAUGCUCCACUGCAAGUUAAAAUUUAAGUCAUGAAAAACCUAAUGUUACAAUGUGUACAACCAACAUAAAGCAUUCACUGAAUUAUUAUCGAGUAGGCUUUAGCUUGGAAAUCAUCAGAUCUUUUGGGUAAAGCACACUACCCACUGCUUUGUUUAUUCUAUUGUAGGCAGCUCAGAAGCAAUCUAUUGACUUUCAGCUGUGGAAUGUUUGUAAAGAAGGGUGGAGAGAAAAAAAAUCAACCUUCCCCUUUUCAACUCCUGCUUUUUUGAUGACCUUUCAGUCUCUUCAGAUUUUCUUUUCUGCCUCUCUGGAAUGAAGCAUUCCAUGCUAAGAUUAAGACAUUGCACUACAGUAUUCAGGACAGGAUGGGAAUUUAACAACGCUUGAAGCACGGUUGUAUCCUGGACCCAGAAGAACCUUCUCUACCUGGUACUGCAAGAUGUGCUGUGUGCAAUGUGGCCGAGUUAAGAGUGCUGGAGCAACAUACUGGAACUGCUUGAUCAGACUCUUGAUCUGACUUCUUAAUCUCACAGUUAGUAAUAUUUUAUAGAAAUUGUUGUUAAGUGUGAAUAUUUUUGUUGUUAACUGCGUAUACAGAACACAAACAGAUUCUUAAAUAUAUCUAUGCAAAAUUACAUUUUUUAUAAGGACCAUACUUUGCUUCAUUUAGGUAUGUUUUUCUCUUUACAAAUAAAUCACAUUCAUUUGUGGAUUCUUCAGGAAUGUUUUAGCUUUAAAUUAUAAGACAUAACAUAUAAAAGAAUUUAUAAUUGGCUAAGCCACCAAUGUUCAUAACUUCCAUGUUUAAAUCAGAUCACUUAUUUCACUGUGAAAUCAAUUUACCUGUAAAUUCACUAAUCCUCCAUGUUUUGAUAAUGAGAAGAAGUCUUAGCAAAAAUAAAGGUGUAAUUUAACAA